UCGCGGCCUAUCAGCUUGUUGGUGAGGUAACGGCUCACCAAGGCUUCGACGGAUAGCUAGUCUGAGAGGACGAAUAGCCACACUGGAACUGAGACACGGUCCAGACUCUUACGGGAGGCAGCAGUGGGGAAUCUUGCACAAUGGGCGAAAGCCUGAUGCAGCGACGCCGCGUGGGGGAUGAAGGCCCUAGGGUCGUAAACCCCUUUCAGGAGGGACGAAAAUGACGGUACCUCCAGAAGAAGCCCCGGCCAACUACGUGCCAGCAGCCGCGGUAAGACGUAGGGGGCGAGCGUUGUCCGGAUUUAUUGGGCGUAAAGGGCUCGUAGGUGGUUGCGUAAGUCGGAUGUGAAAACUCAGGGCUCAACUCUGAGACGCCAUCCGAUACUGCGCUGACUUGAGUCCGGUAGAGGAGUGUGGAAUUCCUGGUGUAGCGGUGAAAUGCGCAGAUAUCAGGAGGAACACCUAUAGCGAAGGCAGCACUCUGGGCCGGUACUGACACUGAGGAGCGAAAGCGUGGGUAGCAAACAAGAUUAGAUACCCUGGUAGUCCACGCCGUAAACGGUGGGCACUAGAUGUGGGGACUUUCAACGGUCUCUGCGUCGUAGCUAACGCAUUAAGUGCCCCGCCUGGGGAGUACGGCCGCAAGGCUAAAACUCAAAGGAAUUGACGGGGGCCCGCACAAGCGGCGGAGCAUGUUGCUUAAUUCGAGGCAACGCGAAGAACCUUACCUGGGUUUGACAUGUACGGAAAAGCUGCAGAGAUGUAGUGUCCUUCGGGGCCGUACACAGGUGGUGCAUGGUUGUCGUCAGCUCGUGUCGUGAGAUGUUGGGUUAAGUCCCGCAACGAGCGCAACCCUCGUCCUAUGUUGCCAGCAUUUAGUUGGGGACUCGUAGGAGACUGCCGGCGUCAAGUCGGAGGAAGGUGGGGACGACGUCAAAUCAUCAUGCCCCUUAUGUCCAGGGCUGCAAACAUGCUACAAUGGCCGGUACAACGGGCUGCGACACCGCGAGGUGAAGCGAAUCCCU
rnacentral:rRNA from 1 species